rnacentral:lncRNA from 1 species
CAACCUGGUCAUGGCAGGACCUUGACAGGCACAUCUGGAGGCUUCAAUUAUUACAGCGAUGCUGGAAGAGUUGUGAAAAGCUACAAUAGAAUGUACGGGUGUCCACAAAUACAAGGAUGUGCAAUCAAAUGCCU